rfam:Enterococcus columbae DSM 7374 = ATCC 51263 genomic scaffold acyDG-supercont2.4, whole genome shotgun sequence.
AACCAACAAUAACCUUUUUAUUUUUCAUUUUACUCCUUAGUUGAGUAAUUACUCCUUUUUCCGCUAGGCCUAACCAACCUAGUGGUUUUUUUA